rnacentral:rRNA from 1 species
AUUGAACGCUGGCGGCAGGCCUAACACAUGCAAGUCGAACGAGUGGCGGACGGGUGAGUAAUGUCUGGGAAACUGCCCACUGGAGGGUGAUCACUACUGGUAACGUUAGCUAAUACCGCCUACCAUCGGAUGUGCACACAUGGGAUUAGCUAGUCGUGGGGGUAACGGAUCACCUAGGCGACGAUCCCUAGCUGGUCUGAGAGGAUGACCAGCAACAAUGGAACUGAGACACGGUCCAGAAUCCUACGUGGGGCAGCAGUGGGGAAUAUUGCACAAAGGGCGCAAGCCUGAUACAGCCAUGAAGCGUGUAUGAAGAAGGCCUUCGGGUUGUAAAGUACUUUCAGCAAGGAGGCGUUACUCGCAGAAGAAGCACCGGCUAACUCCGUGCCAGCAGCCGCGGUAAUAC